GGGUGAUUAGCUCAGGUGGGAGAGCACCUCCCUUACAAGGAGGGGGUCGGUGGUUCGAUCCCGUCAUCACCCACCA
rnacentral:tRNA from 1 species